rnacentral:rRNA from 1 species
GACGAAGGGGGCUAGCGUUGUUCGGAAUUACUGGGCGUAAAGCGCGUGUAGGCGGUUGUCCAAGUCAGGUGUGAAAGCCUUGAGCUCAACUCAAGAAAUGCACUUGAUACUGGAUGACUAGAGGACCGGAGAGGAUAGUGGAAUUCCCAGUGUAGUGGUGAAAUACGUAGAGAUCGGGAGGAAGGCCGGUGGCGAAGGCGGCGCUCUGGAACGUUUCUGACACUGAGGCUCGAAAGCGUGGGGAGCAAACAGG